rnacentral:rRNA from 1 species
UACAGAGGGUGCAAGCGUUGUUCGGAAUUAUUGGGCGUAAAGCGCGUGUAGGCGGCUUGGCAAGUCGGGUGUGAAAGCCCUUAGCUCAACUGAGGAAGUGCGCCCGAAACUGCUGAGCUCGAGUGCCGGAGAGGAUGGCGGAAUUCCCCAAGUAGAGGUGAAAUUCGUAGAUAUCAGGAGGAACACCGGUGGCGAAGGCGGCUACCUGGACAGAAACUGACGCUGAGGCGCGAAAGCUAGGGGAGCAAACAGG